GAUGAACGCUGGCGGCGUGCCUAAUACAUGCAAGUCGAGCGAAUGGAUUAAGAGCUUGCUCUUAUGAAGUUAGCGGCGGACGGGUGAGUAACACGUGGGUAACCUGCCCAUAAGACUGGGAUAACUCCGGGAAACCGGGGCUAAUACCGGAUAACAUUUUGAACCGCAUGGUUCGAAAUUGAAAGGCGGCUUCGGCUGUCACUUAUGGAUGGACCCGCGUGGCAUUAGCUAGUUGGUGAGGUAACGGCACACCAAGGCAACGAUGCGUAGCCGAACGGGGAGGGUGAUCAGCAACACUGGGACUGAGACACGGCCCAGACUCCUACGGGAGGCAGCAGUAGGGAAUCUUCCGCAAUGGACGAAAGUCUGACGGAGCAACGCCGCGUGAGUGAUGAAGGCUUUCGGGUCGUAAAACUCUGUUGUUAGGGAAGAACAAGUGCUAGUUGAAUAAGCUGACACCUUGACGGUACCUAACCAGAAAGCCACGGCUAACUACGUGCCAGCCGCCGCAGUAA
rnacentral:rRNA from 1 species